rnacentral:rRNA from 1 species
AGAAUUUUAAUGGUCGAACAGACCAACCCUUAAAGACUUCUGCGCCUUUAGGAUAUUCUGGUCCAACAUCGAGGUCACAAACCUUUUUUUCGAUUAGAACUCUCAAAAAAGAUAAUGCUGUUAUCCCUACGGUAACUAAUUUCAUUAAUCAAUAAAAUUGGAUCAUAAUCAGUAAAUUUAGUUAAUUAAGGAAGCUUUAUUUGUUCCUUAGUCGCCCCAACUAAAAUUUUUUGUAGUAUAUGCUUCAUAUAUGUUCUUAAUUCAACAAAUUUUUUUUAAGCUCGAUAGGGUCUUCUUGUCUUUUAAUUGAAUUUAGAUUUCUUCAUCUAAAAAUAAAAUUCUAGUAAAUAAAAAAGAGACAGUUUUACUCUUGUCAAACCAUUCAUUCUAGUCCCCAAUUAUGAAACAAAUUAUUAUGCUACCUUUGCACGGUUAAAAUACCGCGGCCGUUAAAUAUAUAUCACCGGGCAGGUUCGACUCUUUAUAUUAUCAAAACAAAGAGAC